CUGACAGCUUUGGAGAAUGAAAUCCUCUUGUUAUCCACAAAACAGUGACAAUGUAGUCUGUGUCACUGUAAUCAUCCCCAUUCCACUUUUCCAGUGUGCCUCAACCCUGACCUGGAGAGACCAUCAGUUAGAAGACAGUCUGGUCUCCAUGCUUCUUGAGUCCUUGGCCUUU
rnacentral:sRNA from 1 species